UACGUAGGGUGCGAGCGUUAAUCGGAAUUACUGGGCGUAAAGCGUGCGCAGGCGGUGCUGUAAGACCGAUGUGAAAUCCCCGGGCUUAACCUGGGAACUGCAUUGGUGACUGCAGCGCUGGAGUAUGGCAGAGGGGGGUGGAAUUCCACGUGUAGCAGUGAAAUGCGUAGAGAUGUGGAGGAACACCGAUGGCGAAGGCAGCCCCCUGGGCCAAUACUGACGCUCAAGCACGAAAGCGUGGGGAGCAAACAGG
rnacentral:rRNA from 1 species